rnacentral:rRNA from 1 species
UUACGGGAGGCAGCAGUCGGGAAUUUUGCACAAUGGCCGAAAGGCUGAUGCAGCAACGCCGCGUGGGGGAGGAAGGCCUUCGGGUUGUAAACCCCUGUUGCCCGUGACGAACGGCUUUGGUAGGAAAUGACCAGAGUUUGACGGUAGCGGGUGAGGAAGCCACGGCUAACUACGUGCCAGCAGCCGCGGUAAUACGUAGGUGGCAAGCGUUGUCCGGAAUUAUUGGGCGUAAAGGGCGUGUAGGCGGCUCGGUAAGUGGGGAGUGAAACUCCGCAGCUCAACUGCGGCGCUGCUUCCCAUACUGCUGGGCUUGAGGGCGGGAGAGGGCAGUGGAAUUCCCGGUGUAGCAGUGAAAUGCGUAGAGAUCGGGAGGAACCCCAGUGGCGAAGGCGACUGCCUGGACCGAACCUGACGCUGAGGCGCGAAAGCUAGGGGAGCAAACAGGAUUAGAUACCCCGGUAGA